CUAAAUUCGUGCCAGCAGUUGCGGUUAUACGAAACUUUAUAAAAAUUUUAUAUUUAAAAAUUAAAAAUAUUUCUUAAUAAGUGAAAUUUAAAAUAUAUAAUAUUAAAUAUAAUCUUAUAGAUACAAACUAGGAUUAGAUACCCUGCUAUCCUAUAUAAAUAAAUAUAGAAGUAAUUUUUAAACUUAAAAAUUUGGCGGUAAUUAGUAUUAUAGAGGGAUAUGUAAUUAAACCGAUAUUACACGAUUUAACUUGCUUGAUAAAUAUCUAUAUACUUCCGUUGUCAGAUUUUCAAAUUUAAUAAGUUUCUAGAUAAUUAAUAUAAUAUUAUAACUUCAGGUCAAUGUGUAAUUAAAUCAAGAUAUUAUGUAUCAUAAUCAAAAAUUAUUGAAACAGUAUACUUCUUGUAAUAGAUUAUUAAGGUAAAUUUAUAAGUAAAAAGAAAAUAAAUUAUUUAUUUGAAAACUUACUAAUUAUGUACAUAUCGCCCGUCAUUUUUACUUUAAGUAAAACAAGUCGUAACAAAGUAGACCUAAUGGAAAUUAGGUCUAAGUUAAUAAUUUAAAUAUUUUAUUUACACUAAAAUAU
rnacentral:rRNA from 1 species